rnacentral:rRNA from 1 species
CCUACGGGUGGCUGCAGUGGGGAAUAUUGGACAAUGGGGGCAACCCUGAUCCAGCCAUGCCGCGUGUGUGAAGAAGGCCCUCGGGUUGUAAAGCACUUUCAGUGAGGAAGAACGCCUGGUGGUUAAUACCCAUCAGGAAAGACAUCACUCACAGAAGAAGCACCGGCUAACUCCGUGCCAGCAGCCGCGGUAAUACGGAGGGUGCGAGCGUUAAUCGGAAUUACUGGGCGUAAAGCGCGCGUAGGUGGCUUGAUAAGCCGGUUGUGAAAGCCCCGGGCUCAACCUGGGAACGGCAUCCGGAACUGGCAAGCUAGAGUGCAGGAGAGGAAGGUAGAAUUCCCGGUGUAGAGGUGAAAUGCGUAGAGAUCGGGAGGAAUACCAGUGGCGAAGGCGGCCUUCUGGACUGACACUGACACUGAGGUGCGAAAGCGUGGGUAGCAAACAGGAUUAGAUACCCUUGUAGUC